GUUGCGGGAGCGAGGGGAAAGGGAAGAGGCUUGAAUUGGGGUGGGGGAAAACCUAGGUUCUUUGGAGACUCAAGUACCGCGCAGCCCUCACCUUUCAGCCCUCGCGGAGUGGACCGGACUCCACCAAUGAAGCACAAUGGAGGCGUUUCACAAAGGGCGGUGAGGAGUGGGAGCCAGGCAGCGCGCCCCUCUUAACUCCCGGUGGGCUGGAAAAACCCCACUGACCGGCCUCCUGGUGCUGCGGGACGAAACCCCGCGUAGAAAAGCUGACUGCAGCGCCCGGUCGGCCACACCCCUUUAUCUCGGACGCGCACGCUGCGCUCUGCGCUCUUUAUCUCCCAUCACAGCCUAGACCUUUGCCCUGUCAAGUUCAAUCACAUGAAAGUAUUUCACUUGACCUACUAAUAUCUUAUUAUUCAUGUUUUUGCGCUGCCGGACUGCCAGAAUCCCGCAAAUGCUGGGGCUUCCGAUCCUUGGUUUUCUUUAGUGCUGAGGCUCACGGGGUACAUUUUCUUUGGUUGACUGACAUCCUUAACCAUAACCCCGAACUCUACAAUGAUGUCCCGUGAGGGACCCUAACUGGCUUGGUCAUCACUGUAUCCCCAGCACCUAACACCGGUCCAGGGGAAAUAGGCUUUUUGGAGUUGGACAUAGACCUGAAAGUGUCAUGAUUUCUCAGCUGUGCCUAGCUGAACCUGCCUGUGAGAUCCUCAGCUGCCCGCCUUCCUGAACUGCAGAAGACAGCAGCC